CUGAGCGACUGUCUCCAGGUAAAUGAUGUGAGUGUGUUUGCAUAUUGAUCAGAUGCUUCAGUGCUCUGAGAGUGUUUAUAGUGCUGUGAGUUUAACACUUCAUCACUGACACACACAACAAUCUUCAUCAACAUGACCUUCAUCAUCAUCUUCAUCUGGACUCUCACAUACUGCUUUAUACUACAAGGGUGUAAAGCUCAGAUCACAGUCACUCAGACUCCUUCAGCUAAACCUGUCACACCAGGAGAAAAUGUUGUGAUGAGCUGUAAACUCAGUACUCCUACACCCUGCAGCCCAGACACCUGUGUGUCCUGGUACUUACAGAAACCUGGAGAAGCUCCUAAACUCCUGAUUUAUUAUGUAUACCAUCUCCAGUCAGGAACUCCAUCUAGAUUCAGUGGCAGUGGAUCUGGGACUGAUUUCACUCUGACCAUCAGUGGAGUCCAGACUGAAGAUGCUGGACAUUAUUACUGUCAGAGUUACCACUACAUCAACAGUAUACGUAUGUUCACACAGUGAUUGUGAGUGGUACAA